CUACGCAUGCUGCAGUUAUUCUUUCCAGGCUGUGUUUGUCUUCUCCAUUGUAACCACAGGUUCAGAUUAUUUUGGUGGGUUGAUGUUAGCUAUCGUGUUUCCCUUAUGUUAAUUUGUUGGUCUUAGAUGAGCUCCCAGAAAAGACUUAAUAACAAGCGCUGUAGCCAAGGAAAGCACAGCCUCGUUCGGCAGUUACUGCGCAGCCAAAUAUCCGUCUGUGCUGCCAAGCCUCCCGGCGUGGUGUGUGCUCCUCGCAAGUCACAGAGGGUUCCCGGCUGGCCAGACGGGAGCACAGCAGCACCAGGGCUCCCCAGGCAGGAGCAGGAGGUGGCGGCGACACUGCUCCCGGCUCCACUGGGUGUGAGCAGCAGGGGAAGGUCACAGCACCGCUGGGGAUGGAGAGAAAUGAAGCACUGCAAAGGGUGCUGCAGCAUCGGCCUCAGGCAGCGAGCACCGGUGCCUGGGGAUUCUGGCGCAAGCUGUGGGACUGCAGCAGUGACCCCCAGAUUAGUGGGGCCGACCCCCCUCCUUCGCUGCAGCCCUGGUGAUGUGCCCUGGCACCCGUCCUUGUGAGAGGAGUGGCCCUGGAGCAGCAUGGCAGUGCCAGAGAGGAGAGUUAAGUGGCUGCUCGCAGCAUGGCUGGGUUAUCUUGGCAACUUCAGGCACAGAAAAAUGCUAUUGUGUUUUGAAGGCUGACUGUGGGGAGAGUAAAUUAUGCUCCAUACCUGUGUAACUCACCGAAGGAGACAGCCCUGCCUUCCCAGCACCCCUAUUUACAGCCCAGAAGACAUGACAAAAUGCGGAGGUGGAAGCACAGUGUGCAUGCAGGCUCCUGCAGCUGGACACAACCAGGAUAAAAAGGGCUGGGAAGAACGGCGCUGCAGCCGGCAGCCCUACCCUCGCACACAGCCG